rnacentral:lncRNA from 1 species
AAAUUAUUUAAUAAUCUACAUUGGUUACCAGAUAACUCUCUACUAAAUUUGAACACCUUAAUCUCCGGCGAUAAGUCUUUAAGUAAUGUUGAAAAUGAAAGAAUUGUAAAGAAUGUAUAUGAAUUUAUUAAAGAGUCUAAGAGGUUUCUAAUUGUGUAAUGUAGAACUAAUAAAGUGCAAAUACAUGCAUAUAGUGUAUUACCACUCACAUCAUCACACACCAUCUUUUCAGAGUUCAAAUAUUUUAUAUAUAUAUAUACAUAAUGUAUUGCUUGUAUGCAUGCUUUGUAAAUAUUCUACUGUUAUAAAUUGUUAUGGGAGAAG